rnacentral:rRNA from 1 species
AUGGAGGGUGCCAUAGUGGGCGCCUUGCUGAAGGCCACCCUGCCGAACCUGUUUAAGCUGAUAGGUGACACAUGCAAGCAGCUGGACCCUGAUGUUCGAUUCAUUCAAAGUGAGCUCGCUGCCUUCGGAGAUUCUCGCUGGAGAGGCAACGAAAUCGGCGAUUUGCGGAGAACCUGGAUCUUGCAACUCAGAGGGUUGGCUCAUGAGAUCCAAGACUGCAUCGACAGCUUCCAGAUCCACAAGACCUCUCCCACACAGUUUGCCCACGAGAUCGCUGACCUCAAGAAGAGAAUACAAGAUUCAUCCGAGGCGCUGCACCGUUAUAUCGGCCAGGGGGAGCCGAGCAACGGAAAAGUUGCUCCAAAUCCGAUGGCGAAUGAUGCACAGGAAGAUCUUCUUGCCUUCGUACAGAACCAAUCUGAGAUGAACGCCAAGGUCGUCUGCGCUAUUGGCUUCGGUGGCCAGAACACUGAUCUUGCGAGGCGGGUCUACGAGAAGAAUGAAGUCCGCCGGCAAUUCGGUCAACGGGCGUGGGUCAGUGCGGCGGACAGAACCGUGGAUGAUGUUCUGACGGAGAUACUCAGGCAACUUGAGCGGCGCCCUCGGCUGGGCAUGCUCAUCCUCAGCUGGUUCCUUUCAAUCUUGUGUUUUUUCCGUGGAUUGCUUCUGAAGGUUUUCGGCACCGAGAUGCCUGUCGCAUCCCGGUCCGGCGCCAGCUCCGACAUAGAUCAUCAGCUCAGAUCACUGCUAAGCAAAGAAAGGUAUUUGAUUGUAAUUCAUGAUGUCACGAAAGAAGAGGUGUACAAUAAAAUAUGUGCCUUCCCUUGGGCCAACAGAGUAGGCGGCAGAAUCAUCGUGACGACGGACAUCCAUUCAGCAGUGAGACCCUGCAUCUGUGGCAACGAUCCACCACUGCUUGUUCCAGAUAGCAUCACAUCUCGCCUGGUUUUGGUUGGAGAGGUGGGCACUGGGAUGUUUUACAAAGAGACCUGCUCUGCACUUUGUGACGCAGCCGUAGCAAGAAUGCAAUGUUUUGUCGGCAGUGACUAUGAGAGGAUUGUUGUUGAGGACAUGCUGCUAUAUUUCAGCAUGUUCCCACUUCAUCAUCAUGUUCGGAGGAAUCCUCUAAUAAGGCGAUGGCUGGCUGAAGGACUACUUGUCCAUGCCAUACAGAAGGUGCCUGAGAAUGUGUACCGUUUUCCACAGGAUGUGGCGGCCGAGCAUUUGGACAUUCUCAUCGGCCAAAAUAUUGUCAAGUCCAUUAAGAAGGGCAACAAUGGAAAGGUGACGAGAUGCCAACCUCCAGGUAUGGUGUUCAACCACAUUUGUGCCAGGGCUGUGAUCGAUAAUAUUAACACCUUGCUGUGUGGUCCAAGUCAGAAUGAGACAAUCCAAGAAGCAUAUGUUUGCCGGUUUUCUCUGAGCCUCGGGAGCAGUAUUAAAGAAGUUCCGAGUCAAAUAAGGCGGCUGCGGCAGUUAGAGACAUUCGAUAUGAGUACAAGUGCGGUAGUGACGGUGUCCUCAGAUGUACUCAAGUUGCCCAAAUUGAAACACCUCCUUGGCAAGUUUCGGCUAUCUGAAAAUCCAAGCAUGCUGAAGAAAGGCGCAAAGAAGGUAAAGAAGGUGUUGAAGCUCAAGGAUGAAUUGUCAAAGCUAAAGGACUUCUUGAGGGACAACAGUGUCCUGGAGACUCUAGCAGGAAUCGUCAUCGGCAACGGCAUGGGAUUUCCACAACUGUUGAGUGAUAUGGGGAAGCUGAGGAAGGUGAAGAUGUGGUGUGAUUCCAUGACAAAUGAGUCUACAGACUUGACUGGUCUUAAGGAAGGCAUCAAGGCAUUUACCAGUCACCGAAUCCGUACACCCAACGUUGAUUACUCACUCUCUGUUGACUUCAGCGGCUCUUCACAAUCCUUCCUGGAUUGCCUGGAAGAUCCUGGCAUGCUUACAUCACUCAAACUGCGCGGCAACCUGACGCGUUUCCGUCCAGUUGCUGCAAGGCUGGUUAGUCUACAGGAGCUGUGCCUCUCGUGGACUAAUCUUAGCGGAGCUGCAAUCCAAAUCGGCCUCAGUAAUUUGAGAUGCCAACUGAAAUUUCUGAAGCUGGUUGAGAACAAUCUUGUGGGGCUUGCCAUACAAGACAAGGAUGCAUUCGUAAGCCUGGAACGGAUAUGUCUCGUGGGCAUGCAAAGUCUUGAGGAAAUAAUUAUUCAAGAUCUGAGUAAGCUUGUUUCACUCCACUUGCUCUGUCCUACUCUAGGUGCUCUUCCCGGCAUCCAGAUCCGAAAGCUCCAAAAUCUCAAUGAAGUCGGACUCCAUUAUCAAGUUGACGGUGACAUCAAACGUGGAUGGGAAGAUGCUGCAGUCGGCCAUAAGCGUAAGCUCAGUAUUUUGUCCAUCGGAACACACUAA